CACACUGAAGAAUAUGUAAGAGCUUUCAGAAGUGAACUUCAAAGAGCCCUCUUAACUUCAUCGAGUAGAAGGGCAAUGUAUUUUCCAGUUCCAAAUUUCUGGAGUAAUUAGUUUUCAAAGAGCAGCUAGUAGACGGAUCCUUCUGCUGAGGAAUUGAGAAAACUAAUGAUGUUGCAUGGAGGUCAAUACCAUGUAUAUUAUUCCAGAUCUAAAACAACACAUAUUAUUGCCACAAAUCUUCCCAAUGCCAAAAUUAAAGAAUUAAAGGGGGAAAAAGUAAUUCGACCAGAAUGGAUUGUGGAAAGCAUCAAAGCUGGACGACUUCUCUCCUACAUUCCAUAUCAGCUGUACACCAAGCAGUCCAGUGUGCAGAAAGGUCUCAGCUUUAAUCCUAUAUGCAGACCUGAGGAUCCUCUGCCAGGUCCAAGCAAUAUAGCCAAACAGCUCAACAACAGGGUAAAUCACAUCGUUAAGAAGAUUGAAACAGAAAAUGAAGUCAAAGUCAAUGGCAUGAACAGUUGGAAUGAAGAAGAUGAAAAUAAUGAUUUUAGUUUUGUGGAUCUGGAGCAGACCUCUCCGGGAAGGAAACAGAAUGGAAUUCCGCAUCCCAGAGGCAGCACUGCCAUUUUUAAUGGACACACUCCUAGCUCUAAUGGUGCCUUAAAGACACAGGAUUGCUUGGUGCCCAUGGUCAACAGUGUUGCCAGCAGGCUUUCUCCAGCCUCUUCCCAGGAGGAGGAUAAGGCUGAGAAGAGCAGCACUGAUUUCAGAGACUGCACUCUGCAGCAGUUGCAGCAAAGCACCAGAAACACAGAUGCUUUGCGGAAUCCACACAGAACUAAUUCUUUCUCAUUAUCACCUUUGCACAGUAACACUAAAAUCAAUGGUGCUCACCACUCCACUGUUCAGGGGCCUUCAAGCACAAAAAGCACUUCUUCAGUAUCUACUUUUAGCAAGGCAGCACCUUCAGUGCCAUCCAAACCUUCAGACUGCAAUUUUAUUUCAAACUUCUAUUCUCAUUCAAGACUGCAUCACAUAUCAAUGUGGAAGUGUGAAUUGACUGAGUUUGUCAAUACCCUACAGAGACAAAGUAAUGGUAUCUUUCCAGGAAGGGAAAAGUUAAAAAAAAUGAAAACAGGCAGGUCUGCACUUGUUGUAACUGACACAGGAGAUAUGUCAUUAUUGAAUUCUCCCAGACAUCAGAGCUGUAUAAUGCAUGUUGAUAUGGAUUGCUUCUUUGUAUCAGUGGGUAUACGAAAUAGACCAGAUCUCAAAGGAAAACCAGUGGCUGUUACAAGUAACAGAGGCACAGGAAGGGCACCUUUACGUCCUGGUGCUAAUCCCCAGCUGGAGUGGCAGUAUUACCAGAAUAAAAUCCUGAAAGGCAAAGCAGCAGAUAUACCAGAUUCGUCAUUGUGGGAGAAUCCAGAUUCUGCACAAGCAGAUGGAAGUGAUUCUGUUCUGUCAAGGGCUGAAAUUGCAUCUUGUAGUUAUGAGGCCAGGCAACUUGGCAUUAAGAACGGAAUGUUUUUUGGGCAUGCUAAACAACUAUGUCCUAAUCUUCAAGCUGUUCCAUACGAUUUUCAUGCAUAUAAGGAAGUCGCACGAACAUUGUAUGAAACAUUGGCAAGCUACACUCAUAACAUUGAAGCUGUCAGUUGUGAUGAAGCGCUGGUAGACAUUACCGAAAUCCUUGCAGAGACCAAACUUACUCCUGAUGAAUUUGCAAAUGCUGUUCGUAUGGAAAUCAAAGACCAGACGAAAUGUACUGCCUCUGUUGGAAUUGGUUCUAAUAUUCUCCUGGCUAGAAUGGCAACUAGAAAAGCAAAACCAGAUGGGCAGUACCACCUAAAACCAGAAGAAGUAGAUGAUUUUAUCAGAGGUCAGCUAGUUACUAAUCUACCAGGAGUUGGACAUUCAAUGGAAUCUAAGUUGGCAUCUUUAGGAAUUAAAACUUGUGGAGACUUGCAGUAUAUGACCAUGGCAAAACUCCAAAAAGAAUUUGGUCCCAAAACAGGUCAGAUGCUUUAUAGGUUCUGCCGUGGCUUGGAUGAUAGACCAGUUCGAACUGAAAAGGAAAGAAAAUCUGUUUCAGCUGAGAUCAACUAUGGAAUAAGGUUUACCCAGCCAAAAGAGGCAGAAGCUUUUCUUCUGAGUCUUUCAGAAGAAAUUCAAAGAAGACUAGAAGCCACUGGCAUGAAGGGUAAACGUCUGACUCUCAAAAUCAUGGUACGAAAGCCCGGGGCUCCUGUAGAAACUGCAAAAUUCGGAGGCCAUGGAAUUUGUGAUAACAUUGCCAGGACUGUAACUCUUGACCAGGCAACAGAUAAUGCAAAAAUAAUUGGAAAGGCGAUGCUAAACAUGUUUCAUACAAUGAAACUAAAUAUAUCAGAUAUGAGAGGGGUUGGGAUUCACGUGAAUCAGUUGGUUCCAACUAAUCUGAACCCUUCCACAUGUCCCAGUCGCCCAUCAGUUCAGUCAAGCCACUUUCCUGGUGGGUCGUACUCUGUCCGUGAUGUCUUCCAAGUUCAGAAAGCUAAGAAAUCCACAGAAGAGGAGCACAAAGAAGUAUUUCGGGCCGCUGUGGAUCUGGAAAUAUCAUCUGUUUCUAGAACUUGCACUUUCUUGCCACCUUUUCCUGCACAUCUGCCAACCAGUCCUGAUACUAACAAGGCUGAGUCUUCAGGGAAAUGGAAUGGUCUACAUUCUCCUGUCAGUGUGCAGUCAAGACUUAACCUGAGUAUAGAGGUCCCGUCACCUUCCCAGCUGGAUCAGUCUGUUUUAGAAGCACUUCCACCUGAUCUCCGGGAACAAGUAGAGCAAGUCUGUGCUGUCCAGCAAGCAGAGUCACAUGGCGACAAAAAGAAAGAACCAGUAAAUGGCUGUAAUACAGGAAUUUUGCCACAACCAGUUGGGACAGUCUUGUUGCAAAUACCAGAACCUCAAGAAUCGAACAGUGACACAGGAAUAAAUGUAAUAGCCCUUCCAGCAUUUUCACAGGUGGACCCUGAGGUAUUUGCUGCCCUUCCUGCUGAACUUCAAAGGGAGCUGAAAGCAGCGUAUGAUCAAAGACAAAGGCAGGACGAGAACAGCACUCACCAGCAGUCAGCCAGUGCAUCUGUGCCAAAGAAUCCUUUACUUCAUCUAAAGGCAGCGGUGAAAGAAAAGAAAA
rnacentral:sRNA from 1 species